rnacentral:rRNA from 1 species
AUUGAACGCUGGCGGCAUGCCUUACACAUGCAAGUCGAACGGUAACGCGGGGCAACCUGGCGACGAGUGGCGAACGGGUGAGUAAUGUAUCGGAACGUGCCCAGUUGUGGGGGAUAACUGCUCGAAAGAGCAGCUAAUACCGCAUACGACCUGAGGGUGAAAGCGGGGGAUCGCAAGACCUCGCGCAAUUGGAGCGGCCGAUAUCAGAUUAGGUAGUUGGUGGGGUAAAGGCUCACCAAGCCAACGAUCUGUAGCUGGUCUGAGAGGACGACCAGCCACACUGGGACUGAGACACGGCCCAGACUCCUACGGGAGGCAGCAGUGGGGAAUUUUGGACAAUGGACGCAAGUCUGAUCCAGCCAUGCCGCGUGCGGGAAGAAGGCCUUCGGGUUGUAAACCGCUUUUGUCAGGGAAGAAACGCUCUGGGUUAAUACCUCGGGGUAAUGACGGUACCUGAAGAAUAAGCACCGACUAACUACGUGCCAGCAGCCGCGGUAAAAC